AGAGGGUGAAACUCCCGUGUGACUGGACUGACGAAGCAAGCACUAAUGAGUCGAGUUGUUUGGGAUUGCAGCUCAAAUACGGUGGUAAAUUUCAUCUCAAGCUAAAUACUCAAAGGAGACCGAUAGAGAAAAAGUACCGUGAGGGAAAGAUGACAAGAACUUUGAAAAGAGAGUGAAAGAGUACCUGAAAUUGCUGAAAAGGAAGCGAACRAACCUAGUGAAAGCAAUGUCAUACUUUCCAACUUGCUCGCAACUUGGACGCUGUGGCUUGCCAAGUUCCACUGCAUCGCAGUCUGCAGUGCAAGCAGGUGGACAACAGUUUUGUUGUUCCACUCCCGCACUGCCUGCAAUGCAGUGGAACGAAAUAGAUUUGUUUGUCCCGUCUAGAAACACGGACCAAGGAGUCUAACAUAUGUGCGAGUACAAAGGCAGCAUGCCUUGGUGCGCAAUGAAAGUGUCAGAGGCUGGAAUGCUGUUACAGGCAGUGCACAGUCCGCCGGCCCCCAUCC
rnacentral:rRNA from 1 species